CAUCCAUAACUGUGUUAUUCUCAUACUUGUACCUGGUUAAGAAAAUUAGAAUUACUAUCCAAAACCUCCAUUUUGCACCGCACCCUACUAAUGGUCAGACCAAUGGACAUACACUUGAAUCACAACCAAUGUUGGCUAUAGAAUCAAGAAAGAUAAUUAAUUGAGGAGAUCACCAUAAGGCAAUACAUAUAGCGAACAAUAACAUUAAAAAGUAAAUGAAAUUAAUCGUUGUGGUAAACUUAAAGGUAAGUUGUUUUUUUAGAGUUUAUUCAUUUAUGAUUUUUCCAUCUAAGCAACACGACAAGAUGUGAACUCAUUUCAAAUUGACUGGUUGUAUUGACUGAUCACAUCCCACACUAACAUAAAAAGCAUCCACCUAACAUUGAGAUACAAAACCACUCGGUGUGAGCUUAUUAAUAAUAAACCUUUCCAUUACCAUAAAGUUGAUAUUGUAAUGGUGACCUUACAUCAGAAGAAGAAGCAUCCAUAACUGUGUUAUUCUCAUACUUGUACCUGGUUAAGAAAAUUAGAAUUACUAUCCAAAACCUCCAUUUUGCACCGCACCCUACUAAUGGUCAGACCAAUGGACAUACACUUGAAUCACAACCAAUGUUGGCUAUAGAAUCAAGAAAGAUAAUUAAUUGAGGAGAUCACCAUAAGGCAAUACAUAUAGCGAACAAUAACAUUAAAAAGUAAAUGAAAUUAAUCGUUGUGGUAAACUUAAAGGUAAGUUGUUUUUUUAGAGUUUAUUCAUUUAUGAUUUUUCCAUCUAAGCAACACGACAAGAUGUGAACUCAUUUCAAAUUGACUGGUUGUAUUGACUGAUCACAUCCCACACUAACAUAAAAAGCAUCCACCUAACAUUGAGAUACAAAACCACUCGGUGUGAGCUCAUUAAUAAUAACACGUCAAUACGAAUUAUGGUAACAAAGAUCCACAAUAAAGAGUUUAGUGUACUAGAAAUGCACACAGUAUAUGGAUAAGUUUGAUGCUAUAUGUCAUAUCAUUCUGCACGGAAGUGAUUCGAGUGUAGUAGCUAUAUUUGGAUUGCCAAUAGCAUUACCUACCCUAAC
rnacentral:lncRNA from 1 species